UGGGUAUCCUGAAAAGAGUCGAUGGUGGCCUGGACAGGAUGGUGGUGGGAGUUGAUGGGGGCAGUUUUGUAGAGCUUAGGUGCCUCAUUCACGAGAUAAAAUCGAGAAGGACUUGCACUGUGGGGGGUUGUACACAAGCCCGGGCUUUCUCCCCCUUUGACCUGAGACAUAGCGGCUCUCACAGCUUGAGCACCACCCUCUGAAGAGCUGCAGAUCCCAGAAAUGCUGAAAUCGUCCUUUAGAGGAAGCAUUCACUUGAAACAACAAAAGAUUAGAGAAACCUUAAAAAUGCUGGAUUUUCUUUACCUUUUGAGGAAGGCCAGCUGGAACCUUCUGAAAUUAUUCCUAUCCAGUGUGCAGCCACAAACAGUACUGAUGGUGAGGAUAAAAUAUUAUUUUUGUAAAUUGCAUGUGGAUACAGCAGUGCCACUUAAUCAGAUGCUCCUUAGCGGAUGGUGGGAACGGAGACCACAGCCAAGACCGAGGAGACUGCUGCGGCACAAAGAGGCCCGGAUUAAGAUUCAGAAGAGAGCAAAUGGCCCGCGAUCAUUCUGGCACAUACUUGAAUGUAACAUUCUAGGAACACCCAUUUUUUAAAAUUAAUUAUUUUUUUAACUGUAGUAAAAUAUAAAUAACGUCAAAUGUAUCAUUUAAUCAAGUUUAAGUGCACAAUUAAAUGACAUUCAGAACAUUCACAUUUUUGUACAAUCCUCGCCACUCGUCUACCUCCUGAACUUUUUCCAUCUUCCUCAGCUGAAAUUCUGGACUUCCCCCGAGCCCCUGGUGACCACCCUUCUAUUUUGUCUGCAUGAAUUCAACUACUCCAGGUGCCUCAAAGAAGCGGAUUCCUACAGUUU